CCUACGGGGGGCUGCAGUGGGGAAUAUUGCACAAUGGGCGCAAGCCUGAUGCAGCCAUGCCGCGUGUGUGAAGAAGGCCUUCGGGUUGUAAAGCACUUUCAGCGGGGAGGAAGGCGUUAAGGUUAAUAACCUUGGCGAUUGACGUUACCCGCAGAAGAAGCACCGGCUAACUCCGUGCCAGCAGCCGCGGUAAUACGGAGGGUGCAAGCGUUAAUCGGAAUUACUGGGCGUAAAGCGCACGCAGGCGGUCUGUCAAGUCGGAUGUGAAAUCCCCGGGCUCAACCUGGGAACUGCAUUCGAAACUGGCAGGCUAGAGGCUUGUAGAGGGGGGUAGAAUUCCAGGUGUAGCGGUGAAAUGCGUAGAGAUCUGGAGGAAUACCGGUGGCGAAGGCGGCCCCCUGGACAAAGACUGACGCUCAGGUGCGAAAGCGUGGGGAGCAAACAGGAUUAGAUACCGAGUAGUC
rnacentral:rRNA from 1 species